CUGCAUUGACGUCAGAGGCCCCGCGGAUCAUACACACACACUCGCAAGCGCGCCGUGCACACACACUGUAAAAUAAUUAGGCUAUGUAAUUUUCUGCAUUCAUCAUGCACACACUUUUUGAGCUUGCCAGAAAGUGCACCACAGAGAGACAUUUCAUAGCCAUGAGAAAAACAUCUGAGAGGAAAGAAGAGGGGGGGGAACUUUUUAUGGUUGUAAACUGGUUUUCUGGUAAUGCGGAGGAGGAGAUACACCAGACUCAGCGACAGGCUGAGGAGGAGUCAGGUCAGACCAGGGCCAGCCUCCUGGAGCUGGAGAGAGUCAGCAGAGGUGGCUGCUCAUUGAGAAAAGGCAGGAGAUCGAUGCCCUGGAGAAGGCCAGAAGGGCAGAUCUGAAGGAGUUGUCCCAGUUGAAGUUUGAGAUGUUUGAUAAUGGGAGGGGUUGCUGUCUGAAGAAGAAGAAGAAGAAGAAGAAGAAGAAGAAGAAGAAGAAGAAGAAGAAGAAGAAGAAGAUCUCCUCCUAGUCUCCCCUUCUUAUAGGGUCAACCAAGAGGUCCACAUCACUACUUGAGGACAGGCCGAGGCUCAUUAGGUAAACCCACAGGUGGAUCUUCUGCUUUCAAGGACUGAAAAAGCAACUCCCCCAGGCAGCCUCUACCAAUAAAAAAUAAAUAAUCUUUGAACCAUGGAAUAUGAAGAGAAGACCUGACUGGUUUGCUACAGCGAGUGUGUCACU